GGGAGGGGGUAUAUGUGAUUGUCCAUGGUGGGUUCUAGAAGGCCUUUCGUGUUGGGUUUGCGGAAGUCCAACUCUGGAGUGUGAGAGCAUUUUGUAAGCCAUGUCGCAUUUGUGGUAGAGAAUGGGAGGCAUAUGCUGCAUGUGAAAAGAUGUGGUUGGGGGAGAUUUCCUAAUUUGUUUUGAUUGCGACAAACUGGGACGCCUUGGUUGCAGAUAAUGUGAUGAUUACAGGUGGAAGAGUCUCGUAGCAGCAGUGUUUUGGUAGGAGCUUUUAGGAUCGGGAGUUGGAAAAAAGUUGAUGAGCUAUUGCCAUUGUUGCAUGAGGUGAGUCCCUUUAUGACGGUGGAGAUUCGAUGUUUUGGUUCUUCCGGUAGUAGGAGGAGCUAUAUUGUGAGUUAUUUUUAUAGGAGUUUUGGGGGUAGUAGUGAUUUGAGUUUUUGUGGAAGAACAUUUGGAGGGUCCAGAGGAAAACUAGUUUUCUUCUGAAUUGCAGGAUGUAGGUAUUUUAACUUGGGAUAAUGUAUGGAAGAAAGAAAGGUUUGUUGUCAAUAGGUGCUAUAUGUUUUGAAAGGAUUGGCAGGAAGUGGUUAUGUCGACCUCAAUUCCGAAAUUAUUGCAAGCUUGGAAGGGUGCUAGAAUACGAGGAGGUGUAAGGCAAAGGGUGACAUGAUUUCGUAUUGUUUCUGAUAAACCCUGUGGAGGGUGAGAAACAGGUUAUUGUGUGAUGAUGAUAAAAAACACCUGGGGAAUAUUAGAUUUCUGUUUCUGAGCUUGUUUUUCUUGAAGAACGAGGUUUUUCUGGGGGGUUAAUUUCUUGGAGGAGUUCAGAUUAGGGGCUCUCUGAAUAUUUUUGUCGUCUUUUGUAUAGGGUUUUUAUGUGCAGGUUAUGUUCUUUGGUUCUGCCUGCCUUUGGUGUAUAGGGUUUUUAUGUGCAGGUUAUGUUCUUUGGUUCUGCCUGCCUUUGUAUACACCGCUUGUAUUUGGAUGCUGCCUCCUUUUGGCACCUUCUUAAAUUUUUAUUUAUAAAAUAUUUACUUAAAAAAAGGCACCUUGGGGGGAUGAUGAGUCAACAAUGUUCAAAUUCUUGUUCCGCUGUCAGUGAGAUUGUCCCGGCCUUGCUAUCAGGUUCUUCCAGCAAGUACAAUAUAGUGUUGGCAUUAGGCGUGUGGCCGUAUGCCAUCAGUUUCCUCAUCUUUUCCUCAAUUCAUGCAUUCAACAUGAGUUCUAUUUGAUUCCAUCAACUUUAUUCUCUCACAUAUUUCUCUGAUGUCUAAUAUCUCAAUUUCAAGUUAAGAAUAUCAAGUACGUACUGCCAUUACCUGUGGUGUUCGACCCAGCAGGAAGCACAAUGCAGCUAAUUCUGGAAUCUUAAUGAAGGUUUGAAUGUCUUUAUCUUCUAACUUCUAACCAUUUUCCAGAGAAGAAUCAUUCGUCUUUUAGCUGCUGCAAAAGGGUACAAGUUGGGUAUGUAUAUUCGAAUUUAUGCUAAUAUGAGGAUAGUUGGAGGAUACUGUUAUCAUGAAAUUAACUUCAUGGUAUGGUAAGUUGGUCAUGUGACUAAUAAAGUGCUGACACGCAGAGAGAUCAUCUCACGCUUACGUGUCGACAUUGUAUUGGUCAAUUAAUUAAAGUUAACUUCAUACUAACCACUCACAUACCGGAGAUCACAUAUCAUCUCAAUUCUUAUGAGUACCUUGUCAAAGAAGUAGAAACAUCAGCUUGUACAAGUAUGUAUUAUGUAUGCCCAUGUAUCAUGUAUGUGGCAUUAGAUUCUGAAUAAAACUUGUUCUCUAUUGUUUUGCAAAAUUAGUUUCAUUUUGAUGUCAAUUUUGAAAAUAUAAAUUUCAGCAAUAAUUACAAUCGCAAUAAAUAUCAUUUUUUUUUAGUUUUAGAAUUUCAUAAAUGAGUUUAAAGGGAAAAAAACACUUUUUUUGUAUAUUGGAGCGAGUAAAAUGUUCGCUCAAUAAAUAUUAAUAAUAAUUGUAAAAAGUUGUUUUGAAAUAAAAGAUUAAUAUUUUUUUUUAAAUAAAAUGAUCCUUCCACACUUUCCUCAAGAUAUUAUCUCAAAAUGAGUUAUCUAUUACAAGUUUGAUAAGUCGUACAGAGUAGGAAUAAAUUUUAAAGUUACAUAUUUAAGCAGCAAUAAUAAUAUAAAAUUUUCAAUGUUGUUUCAAAUCAUAUAGGUUAAUUUGUCCUCCUCUCUUCACCCUCUAUAUAAAGUAUUUACUUAAAAAAUUAAUGAAUAUUUCAAAUUUGUACACAUUUUACUCUCUUUUUUAAAGUAAUCUAGUCACAACGUUAACCCAUCAAAGAAAAAUUCUUUAGAGCAUAUUGCAAUCUUUUUUUAAUUUCACAAAUUUAGUAAUUGUUUGUGAAUUUUUGCAAUUGUUUAAAAUAAAGUUAUCAAAUAUGAGUGGAUGAAUGAUUAUUUAGUAACUUACAUUAUUGAACAUGAUAUUUUUGUAGCUAUUAAAAAUAAGACUAUCAUGCAACAAUUUUAAUUUAUGAAGUAUCAAAAAAUGUUAUUGUAAAUAAUAUAUGAGCAUUAUUUAAUUUUGUGAUUUAUUAUAUUAUAUUUUUUAUUAAGAUUUUUUUUUUCAAAUUUGACCCCACUAAAUCAAGGAGUUAGAUCCGACCGUAAUUAAUAAAUUUUAUAAUUAUAAUUUGACAUAAAUUUAUUACAAUAUAUAAUCUUAAUAUAUGUGCAUAACCUUAAAACGUUAACAAUUUAUGAGAAUUAAUAAGUGAAAGGAUUAUUGGGUAUAUUAUUGGUUUGUUUUUUUUUAUAACAGUACACAAAAAAUUAUUGUUUGGUAACUAUUUUUAUUUUUUGCAAAAUUUUUAACUUUUGUGCCCAAAACUCAAAUAAAUAAAAAGAUAUUUUUGUUUUGUUACUAAAAACAUGAAAACACGCGGAGGAGUAUUGGUUUAAUGAGAUUUGGACAUCAAACCAUGUUAUAUAGAAUCAAAAAAUCAACUAAAUUAUCAAAAAAAUUAUUUAGAGAUCAAAAUUAACUAAAUCUUCCCUUCUUCACAAGAACAAAUUGCGAGUUGAAAUUGGAUUUUUGCCUCUAAAUCAAAAUAUUAAUAUCAUGCACAAUUUUUUUUAUCUUUCUUCUACGUGUUCUAUAAAAACUCAUCGUCAUAUUCAUAGUAAAAACAAACCCUAGAAUUCAUGAAUUUACAUUCUCUUUAUAUAUGCAAGAUAUAGAGAGAGAGGAAAAAAAAUGGGUCAUGGUUAGCUUAUGUUAUGAUGGGUUUCAAUCAUUGUUUCUCUCUCAUUCACCUCUCCACAAAGAGCACGUAUUAUACAGUACCAUCACACAUGUUGUUAGGAUAUCACAAGUGAGUUGGAUUCACACAUCUGAAAAAUAGUGAAAGAGUGAAUGUUUAAUAUACAUAAAUGGGUCCAAGACUUAAUGACUUAAGCUUUUGAGUCAAGUUGAGUUUCAAACAUAUAUGUUAGUUCCUUGUGUAUGCGCACGCAAUGCGCGGGCUCUUCGAUUCUUCCCCAACAAUCGGUGUCAGAGGCUACGGAAGUUUGAUCACGGGCUAGUGAACCUCUUCAAAAGACACGCGGUUGUGGUGAAUUCUUGAUGAACUCUUCAAAAGAUACACGAUGGUCGUUCAGAAAUUAAAAAAAAUCGGACAACAUCUUCAAAAGACACUCGAUGGGUGGUGAAUUCUCAAUGAAAGGUUUGGUGUUUCUCUUAAGGUGCUCUCGAUGGUGAUGUUGAAUUCUUGAUGGGCUAACCACUAAUUGGUUCCGAGAGUGGUUAGCCGAGAAUUGGAGAUCUGCGAUAUGAUUGAAGAGAGGGGGAGAUUGUUAAGAUAUCACAAGUGAGUUGGAGUCCCACAUCGAAUAAAGAGUGAAAUAGUGAAUGAUUAAUAUACAUGAAUGGGCCCAAAACCUAAUGGCUUAAGUUUUUGAGUCAAGUUGAGUUCUAAACAUGUAUGUUAGUGCAUUGUGUACGCGUGGGGAAAAAAAAUCCCAAUUACAUUUUACUACCUUUAUGAAUUUGAGAAGUGAUAAAUCUAAUACUAGAAUUAAAAAAAUCUUUAGACUUCCUACUCGAUGAAAAAUAAGGAAAAAGAAGAAGAGGAUACAAUAUAUUUUGUUUGUAAAUUUGAAAAGAUAUUGUAAAUAAAUAUAUAUCACGCAAAAUUAAAAAAAAAUCUUUGCACUGCUAAAUUCCUAAAAAUUCAUUGAGUCGACUCGAGAUUAACGAAAACGAUAAUUUGUCCAGUUAUAUUUUACUAUUGAUUUCUCGUUAACAUAACAUAAUGCAUGUUUUUUGUUGAAUUAAUAUUUUCGAUGUUAAAAAAUUCGUUCCACAUCAUAAAAUUAAAAGUUAAAUUAUCCUUCAAUAUUUUAGCAAAAAAAAAAAAUCCUUAAUUAAUAAAUAUCAUCUCCCUUAAUAAAUCAUCAUUACACAAUAGUUGUCUCUGACAUAUAAAAUGAACCGUAUUACCCAAUUUGCCCACAACACUUAAAUGAACGAAGCAGCCCUGAAGAGCAAAAAUACGUCCACAAGUUUCUUCAUCGAACAGGGGGCAAACCUGUCAAUCCAUUACAUGUACGGUUUGAGCCCACUCAAUAUCGGUUUCAGGCGCUCAGCCGUCACACACAUCUCUGUAGGCCCUCGAAAAACGUUCCCUGCACCAAUCGUAGGUUACACGUGUCUCUACCUCAAAGCACGCCGCCAGUACGAUAAAAAAGAAUUUCCGUACAAGAACAUUUGUGUGGGUGGAUAAAGAAAAUUCUCCAUCAACGAAAAGACCAAAACACCCAUCAAAUAUUGAAAUCAUAGCUCUUUUACUGAAAAUUUUAAGGGAUAAUUUAGGCAUGGUGCUAAAAUAUAUUCCCAAUUUUUUAUUUUUUUUUUGCAAAUUUCCAAAACUUCAAUUUGGCGACUCCAUAAAAAGCUCUGUUUCACUAAUCUUUCUGUGUUUAUUUUUCUUAUACGUGACACAGAUUUUGGGACAGGGUUUCAUUUCUUACCAAAAAAGAUGGCCUUUUGCAGAGAUUUAACCUGUUUUUUACUCUUCUUGGCCAUUUUAAUGGCGGUUUCACCACCUUUUGUCCAAACUUCUCGUCCCUGUAAGUCUGUCUCUUUCUCUUUUAGUUAUGGUUUCUCUCUCUAAAUGUACAAACUAUUAUAAAAUGGUUCUUCUUCUUUUUUCCCCCUUUAAUUUUUCUCAGGUUUACAAGUAGAGACCAAAAUGGCAGAAAGCAUAGCUACACAGGUGGGUGGGUGGGGGUGUCAGGUGUGUGUGUGUGUAUAUAUAUAUAUAUAUAUAUAUAUAAAUACAAGUAUCAGCCAUUUUCUUGAGUUAAAAAAAACAUCUUUAAUUAUGUUAUAUUUCUUUUAUAUUUUAUUUUUUUUAUCUUGAACAUUGUAUUUUUCGUGGAGGGUUUGAAUUAUUUAUUAUUAAUUUACAUUUUUUUUUUGUGGAAAAAUGAAGGGAUUGAUGGAUAAGUUUGGAAAUGAAGAGUCAGGUUUUGGGACAGAGGAUUCAGCAAGGGAAGUGCCAACUGGAGCAGACCCUCUUCACCAUAAGAGCAAUCCCACAGGUCCUUGAUCAUUUUAGUUUCUUCCAGAGAAUAAGCAUAUAUAUAGAGACAGAGAAAGAUCAUCACUUGUUUAUUAAUUUCAAGAAUAUAUGGUGUCCCUAAUUGAUUGUCAAUUUAGCUAGCUUUGUUCAUAUCUUUAAUCUUUGGGUUCCUUUUUCUUUUUAAUCUUUUUUUUUUGGGUAAAAAUUAAACAGAUGGACUACUUUAUGGGGUUUUCAUUUUAGUGAUUUGUAAUCAAAAUUUGUCUGCAGUAAUUUUAAAGUUAUUGUUUUAUCCUUAUUUUUUUAAAAUUAACUUUUUCUCCUGAAUUUGAAUGUGGGAAAAGUUGAAGGUUGAAGGACAGAUAUAUGCUCCUGCUGGCUAGCUGGGACUUGGGAGGAGACUGGUUUCCUGAAAUUAGUCAUCCCUCAACAGGGUUAUGUUAUUCAAGGGCAUAGAGCUGAUUUAUCCCUACUUUAUUUCAAAAUAAAAGUCCCAAUUUAAGGAUUUGCUUAGUUAAUUGCCAACGUUUGCGACUUUUAGUUGUGGUAUUUGGUGUGUUUGUACUACUUUUUGUGUGGUACUUGCUUUAGUUUCGAAGCUGUGUUUAUGAGUUAAGCAAGUUACAUGAAAUAAGUUAUUUUUAGACAAACAAAAAUUUAGGGUGCUCAUAAUUAGACAUAAUUUUCAUUAAAGAGCAUUAUUUGAAAUUUAAUUCAUGAUUAAAUUAUUAUUUAGAAUAAAUAAAUAAAUAUAAAUAUAUGUAAUGGUGUCAAAGUAAAACUUAAUAUGCAUCAAAGAAAAGUCGCAUCAGGGUGUUGUGAUAUUUUUGGAAGGAGUUCGAGAAAUUUGACAAUGUAAUGAAAUUGAAUUGGCAAAAAGCACUUUUACUUCAUUGUGUCCAUCGAGUUGUAAACAUUGAGUCACUGUACUUUAAAAAAAUCUAAUUGGUCCACUGUGAUUUUUAAAAAUGCUUAAUUGGGCCAUUCCGUCAAAUUUUUUGGACGGAGGUUAAAUUCUAUUUUCAUUCUUGGCUUUUAAAGAAAAAAUAAAAAAUAAUUAAAUGUUGAUUUGGCUUCCAACGUGAAUUUUUUCACUCUUUCCUUUUAUUUAUCUUCAACCCUCAUCUUUAACCCAGAUCCAAACAAGAAACAACACUUGAAACUCAAAAUUUACAAGUAACAAAAUGAAAUCACAACAAAUAAACAACUAAAAAUAGAAUUCUAAUCAAAAUGAUUAACCUGAACUGAAGAAGAUUGAGGCAAACGAUUCUCAGCUGAUACGAUUGCAUUUACAGUUGCGUUAAUAGUCUCUAAAGUGUUGUUAACUCCUCUAAUUUCUCCAUCCAUUUUAUCAAUCAAACAAACAAUCUAUUCCGCUAAAUCUGAUUGUUCUCCUAUUAAAUCAAAUCAAAUCUCACCACGAAAAACUUGCAAAUUUCUAGAGAAAAUUCUAAUUCAUGGAAUCAAAGAGAGAAUCAGACAAACCUAGCAAGAUUGGAGAAGAAGAAAGUAAGGUAAACUUCUCCGAUUAUGAGAAUCAGACAAAUCUAAUUCUUUUUUAAGUAUAUGACUAAACACCCAGUAUGAGAUUGACUUGCCGGAGAAGAUAAAAUAAUCGGAGAAGACAAUCCCAUUUGUGUAAAAACGGACUCUUUUUUUUUUUGUUUGUUUUUUUUUUAAAAACAACUAAAAAAAAAUAUUUAAUAUUUUAUGGAACUGAAAUUUUUCCAUAAUAUAAUAUUUUGGGCGUGUUUUGAAUACCUAUACCAAAAAAUGGUGGUAUAGUCUGCACAGACUGUAAAUACAUAUUUUGUUAUACGUACCCAAAUCACACCCAAAACACUGUAUUAUGAAAAAAUUUCAAUUCCAUAAUUAUUUAUUUAUUUAUUUUUAGUUGUUUAAAAAAAAAGCAAAAAAAAAAAAGUCCGGAUGUUAGCUCCGUCCGGACGUCCGGACUGGAUCUUGACCUAUAUAUAUAUAGGUAAUGAUCCAUAACAUCUAUUUGCUAUGAAUUAAAAAUUGACAAAUAUCAUAUUUACCUUCCAUUAUAAUUAUGAACCGCUAGGAUUAAAAAAUAGUUUUCGUCAUCCGCUAGAAGUACUUAUGAGCUGAAAUAUAGGUUAUGAAUUGAUAAUUGGGGUUCUUUGUUAUUGAUUAGAUAGGAUUAUCACCAUUAAUGGCGUGAGAAGGAGAGGACCCCAGAACAGAGAAAGGCAAAAUCAUUAAUUAUUAUCUAUUGGGGGAGAAUCCAAAAUGAGAAAAUUGAAACGCUAAAUGAUUCCACAAAUUCAUUACAAAAACACGUGGAAAAAGAAGAUAAAAUUAGACUUUGUAAUGGAGGAAGAUGAUGAGAUGAAGGAUUUGUGGUAAUGGAAUUAAACCCAAAUCUAAAGGAACUAAUCCACAUGAAGAAAGAACUCAAAGAAGAGAGAGAAAUAAUAAGUAAAGAAAAAGAAAGAAAAUAAAAUAUAAAAAUAUUUUUAUUUUAAAUUUUUUUAUAAGUAUUUUAAAACAUAAAAGUAUUUUUAUUUUUAUUUUUAAAAUAAAACAUACAUAUUAUAAAUAUUAUAAUAUUAAUUUUUAUUAAUAUUAGACAUAUUAUAAAUAUUUUCUACCUCGUUUUUAGCAUUUGCAUAUCAUAUCCACGUGUGUCUGAUUAUUUGAUUCCACGUCAUUUCCUUGAAUUUUAUUUUUUUAAAAUGUUAUGUAAGAAAUAAAUAAACAGACAUCCACUAAAUUUGACAAAAUGGCCCAAUUAAGCAUUUUUAAAAACCACAGUGGACCAAUUACAUUUUGUUAAAGUACAGUGGCUCAAUGCUUACAACUCGACGAACACAAUGGGGUAAAGGUGCUUUUUGCCAAUUCAAGUACUAGAAAUUUGGUUGACUGACUUGCCACGUAGGAAAUAACUUAUUUUGUUUUUUUUUUCAAAAGUCACAUAAGAAAAUUGAUCCAAUUUCUUAACGUCCGUGAGCAAAAUUAGACGGAAUGACUUGAUUAAUAAUUUUUAAAUAACACAGUGGGCCAAUUGAUUUUUUUUAAAGCACAAUGGCUCAAUGCUUAAAACACAACGACCACAAUAGGGGUAAAAAGAUAUUUUUUGCCAAAUUGAAUUGGUAAACUUUAGUUAUAUUUUAAAUUUUGUUUCGAAUUGUGUGGACUAGAUGUUUAAUUACUAUAUACAUUUGACUGCAUACAUGCAUUUUAAUUUAAUUACGAUAAAUUUAUGUCCACUUACAAUUGUGAAACUUAUUAAUACAUGAGAUUUAUAAAAAUUAUAAAAAAAUCUCACUUAUUACACAUCUCUUUAUAAAAGUUACUACUAAUAUUUAUCUACGUAACUAGUAAUUAAAGCAUCUGCCUUAUCUUUUCUUUUUCUUUUUUUUAUUAUAUUAUUAUAUUAUUAUUUAUUUAUCUUUUUGGAAAUUUGAGGAAAAUGCCUAGAUUCACUUCCUUGAAUAUUUUCAGUUCGAUUAUCCUAUUUAAUGCAAGUUUUGCAAAUAAAUGAUAUUAAUGGGUUUGUAGAUGGUACCCUCUGAUAAUUGGCCUUUCUCACUUUUACAUCAUUUAACAAGACAAAACAAAGAAAAGGUACAUGCUAAUUUUCAGACUUUUGUAUCAUUUAACAAGACAACAGAGAAAAGCUUACAUGCUAAAUUGCUAAUUUUCAGAUGUACAUAUUAUUAUCAUGCAUUAUUUAAGAAGCUCCAGCCUUGCUUACAAUGGAAAAUUAUAUAACCACCUAUCAACCAUGGCCAAGCAUUCCUUAGGUUUGUACAUAGGAGCCGUAUGACCCCCUCCCUACACAAAUCAAAACCAAAAACAGAUAAGAGAUCUGAUAUGCCCAUUUGUAGUAUGAGCAAAGUUUACACUGCAGGUGUUGGAUUAGGGUUGUAAACGAGCCGAGUCAAGCCGAGUUUGUUGAGCUCAAGCUCAACUAAAAGUUAAACAAGCUCGAGUCGAGUUUUUAAAUAAGCUUGAAUAUGUUGUUUGAAUUCGACUUGUUUAUAAAUGAGUCGAGCUCGAGUUGAAUUCAAGCAAACUUGGUCGAGCUGAGGUUAAGCAGGCUCAAGUUGAGCCUAGACGAGUCGAUCUCAAGCUAAACACAGUAUAUUUUGAGCUCGACUUGUUUAAUUAAACGAACACAAUCAUAUGUUCGAACUAGACUCGAUAAACGAACUCGAGUCGAGCCGAGCUUUGUUCGCGAACUCGAUUCAUUUGCGCUCUAUUUUAGAUCAAUAAUACUUUGAUGACAAAAGAAUCUUACAAAAAAUUGCUUAAAAAAUGAUGUGGUUGGUUGUGGUCGAUUACUAUCACUAGGUACAUCCAUGUAUGAUGGAUCAUCUACUAAUAAGACUUUGUCCAAUAAUACUACAGUGACUAAAAAAUUGUUACAAAAAGAAGAUACAAAAGGAUGUGUAUGGCUUUGAUUUGUUACAAUCACUGGACCCACCCAUAUAUGGUCAAUCAUCCACUAAUUAAACUUUGACACGUCAUUUUGUAAACUAGUUUUCGUAAGAGUUCUUUGUAAGUGUAGCAGGACUCCACUUUGUCGCAUCAUUUUGUAAGCUUUUUUUUGUUACCGUAGCAACACUCAUUUUAGAUAUUCAGCUCGUAAAGUCUCUUGAUAAUCAAUCAUAUUUACAUAAUUGAUAUCAAAUUCUAACUUCAUCGAAAUUGAGGGAAGCAAGUUGAAAUCUAAAACAAAAGGAAAACAUUUGAAUAAAAAUUUAUAGCAUUACAAACUUGCCUUUACAGUAGCAAAAGUGAGACGGUAUCCAUGUAGCUUGUAGGUUUCUGUGUAUCUGAGAAACAUAUUGUAAAAUUAUUUCAACAGUAAAUUCUUUAAGAAAUCAUCCCAUUUGUUUCGUAUUGCAUUUGGGAAACUAAAAAAUACAGCUCAGAGAAAUGAAAACAUGAACGUUAAAAACUUACCCUGCAAUUUGAUCAUCAACAAACCAUGGUCUCCAACUCGCAUCCAUAGUCAGAUUGAGAGACUUUAUAUAUGCUAAUGUACCUAUAUAUGUAGACGCCAUGUCGUGAUCACCACUGUAAUAAGGAAAAAAAUGGGAUUAGUUGAUCAUCAAUUUCGUCGAUAAGCAUUUGAUAAUAUGGUUCAUCUUUAAUUCCAAAUAAAAAUCUAAGUUUUCUUUUCUUUUCUCUUUCUAAAUAGUUUAAUGUAUCAAAGUGAGUUAAAUGUGCUAUAUUUGUCUCAAUACUCCCAUAAUUCUAUUUUCCAAAUCGAAAUGCACUGAUUUUUCUAUAUAACAUACUUUCACUUUUUCCUAAUGACACACUUACUUGCUUAGGGUUUAUUUGGUUAAUAGCAUUUGCAGCUUUUGCAGUGGUAACGUUUUGUGUGUUUGGACUUCCAAACGCACUCUAACCAAACAAGCGCUCUUAGUAAUCAAAAAGGACCUCCAUGUUGCACUUUAAACUAAAUGCAGGACAUCCAUGACAAGCCGCACUUCAAUCCACACCCUAGUGUAUAAUUUUAUAGCAAUUUCACACUGUUAUGUUUUGGAUGUCAGGAUACCUUUAUCCCAAGCAAGUGGCGGAAUCACCUAGCUCAAAACCUUUCUCCAAGUCCCAAUUUGAAGGUCAAAUUUUUAAAAGAAAAUUAAACUUUUAUAUUAUCAACAAAAGUAAUUAAAAACGUUACUUAACUAUGAGAUUUGGUUUAUUCAUUUUCUAGAAUGGAUUCUUAAAUUCGGAGGGGAAAAGCUACUUGCUGAUUAAGUGACUUUAUAUUCAAGUUAUGCAAGAUUAAUUGAAAUCAUAAAAAUUCGCUGAAAACACGAGACAAAACAUUAGACAGACCUGUAUACCAAAACUUGAUAUUCUUUCUCACUAAGAACUUUAUGAUGCUCAACCACAUCUGGAACAUCUUUUACAUAAGAUAAGUUUCUGUUGCACCUCUUCCAUUUUGUUAUUGUUCCCUGAUCUCAUAAUAAAAGCGGAAACAAUUUUGUUAAAGAAAAUCAAGAAUGCAUACAGAUCAAUCAUCAACACAGAUGACUACAUUAUGUGGCAACAAUCUUAGAGCCUGUUCGGCAGUGACUUAGAAGUUGUUCAAACCAACUUAUAAGUCAUUUGCCACUAUUCCUCUGUUUGGCAAUGACUUAUUUUUCUACUUAAAUUUUUAAGUCAAAAAAAAAUAAGCAAGUAUUUGUAAACUUAUUUUAAAUUGACUUAUAAGUCAUUUUAAAAUAAGUUAGUUUGACAAAAUGUAAUGUCUAUUUUACCCUUCUUUUAUUUUGCCCCUCUUUUAUUAAUGUCCUUUAUUAAUUUUAUCAAUCUUUAGAUUUGAUUUUAACUUAUUAGUCAUUAUGAGCCGAACACAUUCAUAACUUGUUUUAACUUAAUUUAUGUCUUAUAAAUCAAAUUGAUGUCGAAUGCUUUUACUUAUAAGUCACAACUUAAAACAACUUAUAUUUUAACUUUAAGUUAUUUUAAAAUAAGAGGUUGCCGAACGGGCUCUUAAUUGCCUCCACAAAAACAUUAUCCAGCAACAAAAGUACCGAGAUUUAUACCCAGAGAAAGGAGAACAUAGAGCAGAACAUAUGAUAUCUAAUGUUGCUAAUUGAACUUAACAUACAUUUCGAACGUGAAGAGCUUCUUGGACAUUUGGAUCGUUUGCCCAAGCGUAAGAUAGUAGGUAGCCAUAUUUCUGCAAAAAAAAAAAAAAAAAAAUUUUGUCUCGUCACUUGCCUUCUCAAAGUUUUGAAGUUCAGAUUCAUUAUAUUAUAGAUCCGAGCAUAGCAUGAAUAGGAAAAUUACUAUAGUACAUCGUGGUCUUUUUGAUGUUACACGUUUUUAUUACUAAAGGCUUGGAAGACAAUUCCACAAUAAUGAAAUUGACAGCUAAAGAGUUUGGGAUUUUAUCAAGUAAAUAGGUACUUGUGUGGGUAAUGGUAAUGAUGGAAAAUAAUGGAGAGGAAAACUGUAGAAAAACUCUGUUUUGAGUGAUGAUUGGGGAUAAAAAUUAGAGCGAAGGAGGUCUGAAAUGAUUCAACGAGGCUAUCAAGAUGAUAAAUUAAGAAAAAUGUUUGCAAAUGCAAAAUGAAAGGUUAUAAGAAAAGUGGUAUUACUGAAUCAAUUAGAAUGUAGAUUUUUUAGGGGAAAAAAUAUGCAAAACAUAGUUACACUAACAGUGGUUUGGAGUCAUGCUGAUUCUGGUGAUUCCCCUGUAAUUUUGCAUCGAAGUGUAUCUUAGGCAAACCAUAAUAUGUGAAAAUAUAUAAUAAAAUUAAUAAUAAUAAAGUUAAGAUCUAUGUUCUAAAAAUCGGCCUAGGCGGUGCCUAAGCGCUAGGCGGGGGCCUGGCGCUGCGUCUAAGGCCAAAUCGGUGAAAAAAGCAGGCUAGACGGCGCCUAGGCAGGUUAGGCGGGGCCUAGGCGGAGUUUUUUUUUAAAAAUUACUACCAAAAUCAAAUCUUGAUAUAUUUAUUUUUCUAAUGAUUUACCAUAUUCUUAAUGCAAGUUGUAGCAUAUCAAAUCACAACAAGAAGUAAACAAGAUCAAGUCAAAAUGGAUAAUUUUAUUAUAGUUGUAAUUUUUUGAACUUGUACCAACUUGAAAUUCUAUAAAUGAUGAUACAUUUAUAAUAUUUAGUUUAAUUCAAUAUAAUUCUUAAAUUUAUGUUUAGUUUCUUAAGUUUUAAUAUUGAAUUGAAUUCUUAAAAUUUUAAAUUUUAUUAUUUAAUACCAAUUUUGUUUAUGAAUAAAACUAAUACGUCAAAGAUAUGUUAGUCAUACUUAGUAUAUGGUAUUUGUCAUUUUCUUUAAGUCCUCAAUUUUGAAAAUUACACAAAUUAAAAUAAUUUCAUAAUUAAUAAUAUCAAAUGUCUCAUUCAAUAAACUUCACACUAAUUUUUAAAAAUAACAUUUAUUUAAAUUUUUGAGAGAGAAGAAGUACGUAUAUAAUUAUAUAUAUGAAGAUAUCAAGAUACUUCUUACUAGUUACUACUUACUAGUAACACUAAUUCUAUAAUUUAAUUAUUUCAAGCAAUGGAUAUAUAUCUUAUUACUCAAGUGCAAUUACUACUAAUUCUAUAAUUUAAUUAUUAUCUUUAUUAUAGAUUAUUUUGCUUUAUAUUAUUGUUUUGUUAGAAUAAUGUAAGAUAAAAUAUUAAAAUUGUCUUAAAAUAAAAAAUCCCGCCUAGGCCUCGCCUAGGCCCCCUGACCGCCCGCCCGCCUAGCGCCUUUUAGAACAUAUAAGAUGUCAAAUGUGACUGUCAUUUUCUUUUAUAUAGCAUUAAAAUGAAAUCCUGCUGGCUUAGCAGAAAAGCAAAAAGUUCCGAGUACUAAAAGACAGUAAACACAAAGAAAAAACUAUUACUCGACACCAUGGUUUAUCAUGCCAGGAUGGUAACAGAAUGUCUUCAGAGAAUCUGUAAUCGGAUCUCAGUUCGUCUGACUUUGGAUCAUCAACACCACAGCUGACUUCUAAAAUAUGUUCAAGAUCGAGUCUAGCAAUGCACUAUAAUACGAGAAACCGCAAAAAUUCUCCAUUAGUAAUGGAAACCAGAAAACAUUUUUCUAAUAAUCUUCAGAAAAUGUAUUUGUUGUCUUAAUUUACCUCUUUAAUAAGCUCAAUGGUGUUGACACAUAGAGCAUUGCUUGGAUCGACAUUAAAAUAGUCACCAUGACAGUGUCUUCUGGCUGACUGCACAAUAGAAAAUUUAGGUAGACAAUUAACAGAAAUUCAUAAUUUUUAAUUUCGAAAGAUUGAAACUACCUAGUUAGGAAGAGCCAAUUAAAGUAACCUUUUUAGAUAAAACUUUUAGAAAUAAAGUUGAGAGUAAUCAACAGAGAAAAUUGAGAACAUUAGAUUAUCUUAUUUAUUACUGAAUAGUAUUACUAUGUUAAAUUAUUGAGAACAUAAAGUCUUCACACUUAGAGCAACAAGUACAGAUGAUAAGACCGUAAAAGAAAAAAAGUAGAAUAUAUAAAAUAUGAAUUUGAAAUUAUGCUAGUUAAUCACACCAAUUAAAUGAACGAGCACUCAAGGUACCUCGUAAUAUUCGUCUGAUAUUAGUCCCAUUCGAUGAGCAAAUGGGAUCCUUGAAUUUAUUGCAAUUUCAGGACUAACUAACGGAUUGCCAAGAAAGUAACCCUGUUGUAAAUCCACAGCACAAUGAAAAAAUGUUAACAAUUGAAGAACUCAAUUAAAUUGUAUGCCAUAAAAAAUUGUGAAAGGAAAUACUUUUGUUUUUUGAUUAGUAAUAAUUUAUGCUCUUUUUUUCAUCAAAGUGAAAUACAAACUACUCCCAGUUAGAUUUAGCCUGAAUAUGGUCCUAUAUGACAAUCAAUGUUCAUUCGUUGCUCGCAUUUACCAAACAGUUGUGAUCGAGUAAGAUGACAAUGUGUAUAGCAGCGGACAAGACUGUCAUCAACGGAUUACAGCUCAAAAACGAGCCACGAGUAACAUGUCUGUCACAGCCCCCACCCCUUUAUUAAACAACAAAAAUAAGACAUAAGAAGAAAUAUAAAGUACAAUUGAAGUGUACUUGGAGCUGGAGAGACUGGUAUGGCGUGUCACAUGCUUCAUUACCUGCAACAUCAGCAUCACAAAGCCUAAUUAAGAUUCAUCAAGGUUAAUACAGAAUUAAUGUCAAAAUUUUCUAGAACAUAUAAAUUUUUGUUAGCAUAAAUCACCUUUUGCAAUUUCCAUAACAACCAUUGGAACAAAUAUGCCGGCAUAGGAGUCACCAGCAAUGUAAAGGGGGUUUCUGGAGAAACUAGGGUGAUCUAGCAACCACUGCAAUCAUUGGAAGUCUUCAGUAUUCAGAUUAAAUAUACACAUGUGCACGCAAAGACGCACAUAUAUGGUAGUUGAAAGAUAAUCAUGCUCGUCAGGACUUCAAACAAACAUAUUAAUCGUCCCACAUUAUUGGUCGAUAGAGUAUUUGAGUGACAAUAACUACGAACUACCCUAUUUAUAAACUAAACAAAAAAUGUUUCGUUCUUUAAAUAAUUUUGCUUACAUAUAAUUCAUAUAUUUUUUCUUUAUAUUUCAGCUAACCUCCUUCAGAAAAUUGGAAAUAACUUGUGCUGAUUUUGUGUCAGAGUUGUAGUUGCCUUCUGAGGUUGUUGCAUAGGAAAAUCCAGAUCCGGCUGGUGCAUCUAAAAAUAUUAUGUUUGCAAUCUGCAAAAAUUAACGCAAUCAUAUAAUACAAAACUAACUUGAAUCCUAAUUACUCAUCAAAUUGGAAACAUAAAUAUAAGAUAGAAUACAAUAGUAAGAAAAAAUAAAAGUAAUAAGAUAUGGGAAAGAAGAAUUUGAAGGUAAAUUUGUCUAUUGUUUUUUUUUUUAAAAUCAUUUUUUUUGUUUAUUUUCUGUUCAAUUCUUGGGUGAUAUACAAACAAAUGAGAGAACACAAAACAAGAGCUUCUUUGCUUCUUCUUCUCCUACCAAACACUUGCACAUCUUGAUAUAAGUCAAGAAGGCUCAAUUAGUAUGGGACAUCCCAAAAUGAAAAAGGGUCAACUAAAGUGAGACAGAGAAGGAAUAUGGUGCAAGGAAGAAUUUAUAUAGCACCUUUGUCCAUGAGUAUGGGUUCAGAGUAAGUGAUGGUAAUCCCCCAAUAUAAGCUGGGAAAUCAAAUUUUAAUGGACCUGCAGAAUUCAUGCGAAAGAGUGAGUUUAAAUUUGAUACAUUAAAAGUGUACACACGAGCAAUCAUGACACAUCAUUAAAAUAAGGGUAAUUUCAACACAUGUAUUUUAUCCUAGUGAUGUAAGAUGAAUGAAUACUAUGAACUAUACAUAAACUAAUUUCACUGUUUUGAAUAGAGAGAAAGUUGAGGUUAGAAAAACAUAGAUACCAAUUUCAUAAACUAGGCCUGAGAAACUGGAACAACCAGGGCCUCCACUGAGCCAAAGCACAAGAGGGUCAUUUGCAGGAUCCUUUUCAGACUCUAUAAAGUAGUAGAACAGAUGCAAAUCAUUCAAUCUGUCCACACUAACAUAUCUGCAUAAAAAAUCUAUAUUAAUUGUACCCUUAAAAUGGAAUUUCAAUUCAAUCAAACAAAAAAAAAACUUGCCCAGUUUCGAGAUUGAAAGGUAGAGUACCAGAGUAACCAGGAAGGGUCUCAAUUAUUGAUCUCGAAGCCGCCGCAAAAAUGCUGCAAAAAGCAAACAGAAAGACUAUAAUAAUAGCAUUCAGCUGUAUAAAUUUCCUCCCAGAUAAAUUUUUCAAACCCCCAAAAUCAGCUACUAGCAGCACUGGCGGUGCCAUGACUUAGCCGGCCAGAAUAAACUCAACUAAGAGGUAUAUAUGUUUACAAGAACAGCUUUUGUUUAUUUUGAUGUAAAAUAUAUAGUCCCUCGUUUCCCAAAAGUAUGAAAAAAAAUAGAAAAUUUCAAAUUUAUUGUUAAUGACCCCAUAAAUUAUAUAAAGUGAGUAGUAUUUGGACUCCACUAAACGACUAGUUACUCUUUAAAAUGAAAAAAAAUUGUAACUUUAAUCAUAUUUAAGGGGACAGAAAGAAUAGAAUUGGGAGUUCAGAUGAAUAAUUUAAUAUUUAGACAAAGAAACUUUGCAUCGUACAUAGAUGAAUAAUUUGUGGGUGAUUGUAGGUCUGUUUUACGGAAGUGGUUAGCAUGAAGUUCAUAAGUAAGGUGGUCAAUUAGUUAAUAGAGUGCUGAUAAACCGAUAAAAUUUUAUGUAUAUCAGUAUUCUAUUGAUAAAUUAGUCAAUUUAUCAAAAAUAAAACUUCAUGCGAAUCAAAUCGUGUUUUACUGUAUUAAGUAUGGGCGAGAUAUUUUAACAAACACAAUGACCGCAUCACCUUGAACCAAAAACAAAAACGAAUUGGAAUCAUCCCGGAACGUAAUAAAAGGCCUGCAUGUCAACUCAUUUAACGAAUGAAGAAGGGACACACACUCGAUCCUUUUGCUUAAAAAGUUGGCUUGUAUAAAUUAUGGGACCCACACUAUUUGAUGUGUUGCGGUCGGUGGGAGACUCAUAAUCGGGACUAAAUUGCAAAUUUGAUCCUCUUAUAAUUUUACAAUAAUGUUUUCUAAAUAUAUUUAUUUUUAGCAUUAGUCUCCAUGAUUGCACAUAGGGGUGAACAUGGUGCGGUUUGGUGUGGUUUGAAGUCCAAACCACACCCGAAACCGCUUAGGUGCGGUUUGAAAAAUUCAAAACCGCACCCGAAACUGCUUGUGAUUGGUGCGAUGCGGUUUUAAAGUGUGCGGUGCGGUUUUAAUUGGUGCGAUUUCGGUUCCAAAACCAAUUGAAACAACAAAAAAGUCUAAGCCUUCAAUAAAAUUUAACAUAAAACUUACAUCGAACAAUUAACUUAGUGACAAAGUCGGCAAUGGGAAUUAUAUCAAACAUGUUUUAAAACUAAAACAUACGCUAUAUAAAACAACGGAGACCAUAUAUUCGAUAACAAACAAGAAUACUUAUCUAGUUCCCCGAAAAUUAAAAGUAUAUACUGGAUAUAGAAUGAAAUUCUAUCUCAUAUAUUGCAGGGAGGACUUAUAGAAUAUAAUCCUAACUAUACCUAAUUUGAAAAAUAAUCUAUUAGACUAUUACUAUUAUAGUAUUGACAUUAACCAAUGCAUCAAGUGCUCGAGACCCUCAGCUAUAAGCCCCUCCAAUAACGCAUCAAACAAAUUCGAAAUUUCAAAAUCCAAUUGCUUAAUUUUUGAAUCUAUAACCUCUAACAUCUUCUUUCAAUUGGUGAAAAAAUGACAAAACAAGACUGGGGUUUUCUCUGAGCGUGUUCAAGUGAAAAGUAACUUUAGAAUUUACUAGAGAUAAUACAUGCAUACAUACACACACAUGGUGUGGUUUCGGUUUUAUGCGUGCGGUUUUGGCUAGUAACCAAACCGGAACCGUAAAUUUGGAUAUUCAACCCACCUAAAACCGCCACAUACGCCGAAACCGUUGGUGCGAUUUUAAUUGGUGCGGUUCGUGCGGUUUUUGGUGCGGUUUUGGUUCUAAUUUGGUUACUUGCUCAGCCCUAGUUGCACAUACAUUAGUUGUGAAAAACUAUUCCUCCACCUUUUUUUUUUGUUGCUAAUUUCCACACAUCCAAAAAUUGAACCCUUGACCUCAUAGAAGGAAUAAGACAAGAGUUACCACAAAGUUAAGAACCAUACGACAUUCCUCCACAUCUUUUUAUGAAAUAAAAAAUGAAUUUUAUUAAUUAAAUUUGACAAAGAGUGCUAACGUAUUAUUCUCAUCAGUAAGGUUAUUAUAGUGCUAAUGUGUGUGUCGUUGUGUUCUCAAGUUGGCAAUUAAAUUAUUCGUUCCAUCUACAACACUAGUUUGAGCCGUAACAACUAUUUACAAUUUCAAUUUUACAAAGUACGAUGAAAGUCCAAUAAUAAUCUAGACGGGGAUUGAAUAGAUUAUUACAGAUUAAAAAAUUAUCUUAGGCCUUUUUGAAUUUUUGGAUAAUUAAUUUGCAAUGCAAGAUAAUAAAAAUUCAAUCACACAGUGCACAAAGAUUUUUCUGGUUCACAACAUACAUCCCAGGUAUGCUGCUACAUCCAGUCUCAAGCUCUUCUCCAGAACUUGAGAUCCUAUUACUUCCUGUAACAAAAACUCAUUCAACAGGCGGAGAAACCUUUACAAAGUUUUAUAGAUAAACUUCCAACAAUUUCCAACUAAUCUAUCUUGGACAGCAACCUCUCAGCUCCCUCCUGAAGCUUAGUUGUACUUCUUUUGAGUUCCGUUCUAUUCUAUGAUCUGGUCUUGAAACAACAUCCUCUUCUUCACCUCACAAGUUCACUAAAGACCCAACUCCCAGCUGACCUCUCUAAGACUCUGGUCUUGGUCGAAAAAUUACUCGUUUUUCUCACAGGUACAUAAAAUAAACUAACUCUACCUUUUUUUCCUUUUUACAAAAGAUUUUACAACAAUUUUCUUCUCAAAUAAACACAGAUUGAUGUUUCU
rnacentral:lncRNA from 1 species